GCAAACUUGGUCAUUUAGAGGAAGUAAAAGUCGUAACAAGGUUUCCGUAGGUGAACCUGCGGAAGGAUCAUUAUUGAAUAUACUUGAUGGGUUGUUGCUGGCCUUUCGGGGCAUGUGCACACUUGUCUUGCUUUUAUUCAUCCACCUGUGCACCUUUUGUAGUCUUUGUGGGGAUUGAGUCACCUUGUCAGAUUGGGUUCUGGAUUUGAAGAGUGCCUGUGGGCUCUUUUCAAUAGACUUUUCUCUCCCAAAGUGCUAUGUCUUUCAUAUACCACAUAGUAUGUUGUAGAAUGGUUGAUCAAUAAAACAAACAACUUUCAGCAACGGAUCUCUUGGCUCUCGCAUCGAUGAAGAACGCAGC
rnacentral:misc_RNA from 1 species